CAUUUGCUGUGAUGAAUCUCAAGGACGGUAUCUGAGAAAGGUGGCUCUUGAAAGAGUUCUCCUUCCUUGAUUAACAUCCUAAACUGAUCAUAUAAUCUGAGCAAACA
rnacentral:snoRNA from 1 species